AUUGAACGCUGGCGGCAGGCCUAACACAUGCAAGUCGAGCGGAGCGGCGGACGGGUGAGUAAUGCCUAGGAAUCUGCCUGGUAGUGGGGGAUAACGUCCGGAAACGGGCGCUAAUACCGCAUCCUAUCAGAUGAGCCUAGGUCGGAUUAGCUAGUUGGGGGGGUAAAGGCCUACCAAGGCGAAGAUCCGUAACUGGGCUGAGAGGAUGAUCAGUCACAAUGGAAAGAUGACACUGUCCAGCAUCCUGCGGGAGGCAGCAGUGGGUAUUAUUGGACAGUGUGCGAAAGCAUGAUCCAGCCAUGCGGCGUGUGUGAAGAAGGUCUUUGGAUUGUAAAGCACUUGAAGUUGGGCGGCGUUACCAACAGAAUAAGCACCGGCUAACUUCGUGCCAGCAGCCGCGGUAAUAC
rnacentral:rRNA from 1 species